AUUGAACGCUGGCGGCAGGCCUAACACAUGCAAGUCGAGCGGAUGAAGGGAGCUUGCUCCUGGAUUCAGCGGCGGACGGGUGAGUAAUGCCUAGGAAUCUGCCUGGUAGUGGGGGAUAACGUCCGGAAACGGGCGCUAAUACCGCAUACGUCCUGAGGGAGAAAGUGGGGGAUCUUCGGACCUCACGCAAUCAGAUGAGCCUAGGUCGGAUUAGCUAGUUGGUGGGGUAAAGGCCUACCAAGGCGACGAUCCGUAACUGGUCUGAGAGGAUGAUCAGUCACACUGGAACUGAGACACGGUCCAGACUCCUACGGGAGGCAGCAGUGGGGAAUAUUGGACAAUGGGCGAAAGCCUGAUCCAGCCAUGCCGCGUGUGUGAAGAAGGUCUUCGGAUUGUAAAGCACUUUAAGUUGGGAGGAAGGGCAGUAAGUUAAUACCUUGCUGUUUUGACGUUACCAACAGAAUAAGCACCGGCUAACUUCGUG
rnacentral:rRNA from 1 species